rnacentral:rRNA from 1 species
GACGAACGCUGGCGGCGUGCUUAACACAUGCAAGUCGAACGAAGUGGCGAACGGGUGAGUAACGCGUAAGCAACCUGCCCUUCAGCGGGAGACAACAGUUGGAAACGACUGCUAAUAACGCAUACUGAAGGAGGGGAUUGAGUCUGAUUAGCUAGGUGGCGGGGUAACGGCCCACCAAGGCGAUGAUGAGUGGCCGGUCGGAGAGGAUGAACGGCCACAUUGGGACUCAUACACGGCCCAGACUCCUACGGGAGGCAGCAGUGGGGAAUCUUCCGCAAUGGACGAAAGUCGUACGGAGCAACGCCGCGUGAGUGAUGACGGCCUUCGGGUUGUAAAGCUCUGUUAAUCGGGACGCGGUACCGGAAUAGAAAGCCACGGCUAACUACGUGCCAGCAGCCGCGGUAAUAC